rnacentral:rRNA from 1 species
CGGCGGACGGGUGAGUAACGCGUGGGUAACCUGCCUCAUACAGGGGGAUAACAGUUAGAAAUGACUGCUAAUACCGCAUAAGACCACAGCACCGCAUGGUGCAGGGAUAAAAACUCCGGUGGUAUGAGAUGGACCCGCGUCUGAUUAGCUAGUUGGUAAGGUAACGGCUUACCAAGGCGACGAUCAGUAGCCGACCUGAGAGGGUGACCGGCCACAUUGGGACUGAGACACGGCCCAA